AUUUCAAUCACGUACUGUGGAGCUGCUUCUUUGAAAGGGGAAGGGGGGAGGGAAAGGGGGGGGAAAAAAAAAGACAUUGCACACAAUUAGCAGGCAUGCGAAGGCUGUAACACUUUGCGUUUCAACCUUCUCGAAAGGCUGCUCGUCCUUCCCAAAAGCAGGUACUGGAGGUGGGAAGUCUGCCCAAGAGCCAGCGGCCCCAGAGCACAGGCAGCGCAACCGUGCCAGCAGCGAUCUCCUCUCCAGCAGUCCAAUUGCUUGGACCGGGCUUAAAACCGACAACAACAACAACAACAUCGACAUCCUCGUUUACCUGUUGCCAAUACUCCUCCAGGGACGGCAAGGCUGAGAAGUAACCCGUGUCGUGCACAAUCUGGAGUUCCUGGAAGAUGCUGCACAUUGGGAGAACAUCCAUGUCUCAAGUUGCAACAACAAAGUCAGUGCUGGUUACAAAAAUACAGAUGCCUCCUUUAUGUGCAGGGGUGAGGGGUGUGUGCGGGGGGGAUGUCAAACCUCUUGUCUCAGUUUCCAAGCCCCCCCCUUUUCGCCAGAGAAGAAGAAGAAAAAAAAAUGUAUAUAGAGAUAUAUAUUAAUUCCUUUAGGAGCUUAAGGAGGAAAAAAGACCCGAAGUUUCAUGCAAAGUUUAAUUGCACAGCAAUGUAGGACGUCUCCAAAGGCUGCCGCUGCGGCUCUCCCCUCCCGCGGCUGGCGGAGGACACUUGCGCAGGAGCGUACACAAUAUUUGCAAACACGGCGCUGACUGCAAA